rnacentral:rRNA from 1 species
UAGGGAAUAUUGGACAAUGGGGGCAACCCUGAUCCAGCCAUGCCGCGUGAGUGAAGAAGGCCCUCGGGUUGUAAAGCUCUUUUGUCCGGAAAGAAAAGAUUCGGGUUAAUACCCCGGGGUUCUGACGGUACCGGAAGAAUAAGCACCGGCUAACUUCGUGCCAGCAGCCGCGGUAAUACGAAGGGUGCAAGCGUUACUCGGAAUUACUGGGCGUAAAGCGUGCGUAGGUGGUUGUUUAAGUCUGAUGUGAAAGCCCUGGGCUCAACCUGGGAAUGGCAUUGGAAACUGGGCAGCUAGAGUGCGGUAGAGGGUAGUGGAAUUCCCGGUGUAGCAGUGAAAUGCGUAGAGAUCGGGAGGAACAUCUGUGGCGAAGGCGACUGCCUGGACCAGCACUGACACUGAGGCACGAAAGCGUGGGGAGCAAACA